UGUCUUCUAAAUAAAGNCCCGUAUGAAUGGCUAAAUGAAUAUUUUACUGUCUCCUUUAACCAAUCAGUGAAACUGAUCUGCCAGUACAAAAGCUGGCAUUACAAUAUAAGACGAGAAGACCCUGUGGAGCUUUAAAUUUUAGACAAGUACUUUUAUUAUACACACUUAUGUUAACAAAUUUUAAGUUGGGGCGACUUCGGAGAAAAACACAACCUCCGAGAGACAAGGCAACGCCUAAACAAGGCCAACAGGCCUAAACUAAAAGACCCAGUAUUACUGACCAACGAACCAAGUUACCCCAGGGAUAACAGCGCCAUCUUCUUCAAGAGUUCAUAUCGACAAGAAGGUUUACGACCUCGAUGUUGGAUCAGGACACCCAAAUGGUGCAGCCGCUAUUAAAGGUUCGUUUGUUCAACAGUUAACAGU
rnacentral:rRNA from 1 species